AAAUCCUUUUUCUUAAAUAUAUACAUAAUAAAUAUAUAUACAAAAAAUAUAUUUAUAUUUAUAUAUUUUAGAAAAAACUUUAAAAACUUUGGUGUGGUUUCAUUUUUGUCACUUUAGUACCCUAUAGUUUAAAGUGUUUAAAGUUAGUAUCUUAUGGUUUCUCAGUUUAUCACUUUAGUACCCUGUGGUUUAAAGUGUAUCAAUUAGUACUCUAUAAUUUUAUUUUUAUAUCAAGUUAGUACCAUGUGGUUUUAUUUUUGUAUCAAGUUAGUACCCUGUGGUUUUUAAAUCAGGGUACUAAAGUGAUAAAGUGCGAAACCACAUGUAUUAACUUGAUACGCUUUAAAAUAUAAAGUACUAAAGUGAAAAAGUGUAAAACUACAGAGUACUAACUUGAUAUACUUUAAACCAUAAGGUAUUAAAAUGAAAAAAAAAAAAACUAUAAGAGGAGUAUUUGAAGUUUUUUCUAUAUUUUAUGCCUUUCUCUUGUUAUAGACUUACA
rnacentral:lncRNA from 1 species